AACGAACGCUGGCGGCAUGCCUAACACAUGCAAGUCGAACGAAGUCUUCGGACUUAGUGGCGCACGGGUGCGUAACGCGUGGGAAUCUGCCCUUGGGUACGGAAUAACUCAGAGAAAUUUGUGCUAAUACCGUAUAAUGUCUUCGGACCAAAGAUUUAUCGCCCAAGGAUGAGCCCGCGUAAGAUUAGCUAGUUGGUGGGGUAAAAGCCUACCAAGGCGACGAUCUUUAGCUGGUCUGAGAGGAUGAUCAGCCACACUGGGACUGAGACACGGCCCAGACUCCUACGGGAGGCAGCAGUGGGGAAUAUUGGACAAUGGGGGCAACCCUGAUCCAGCAAUGCCGCGUGAGUGAUGAAGGCCUUAGGGUUGUAAAGCUCUUUUGCCAGGGAAGAUGAUGACUGUACCUGGAGAAUAAGCCCCGGCUAAACUUCGUGCCAGCAGCCGCGGUAAU
rnacentral:rRNA from 1 species